rnacentral:rRNA from 1 species
AUUGAACGCUGGCGGCAGGCUUAACACAUGCAAGUCGAGCGGGGGAGGUUGCUUCGGUAACUGACCUAGCGGCGGACGGGUGAGUAAUGCUUAGGAAUCUGCCAUUUAGUGGGGGACAACAUUCCGAAAGGAAUGCUAAUACCGCAUACGUCCUACGGGAGAAAGCAGGGGAUCUUCGGACCUUGCGCUAAAUGAUGAGCCUAAGUCGGAUUAGCUAGUUGGUGGGGUAAAGGCCUACCAAGGCGACGAUCUGUAGCGGGUCUGAGAGGAUGAUCCGCCACACUGGGACUGAGACACGGCCCAGACUCCUACGGGAGGCAGCAGUGGGGAAUAUUGGACAAUGGGCGGAAGCCUGAUCCAGCCAUGCCGCGUGUGUGAAGAAGGCCUUAUGGUUGUAAAGCACUUUAAGCGAGGAGGAGGCUACUAGUAUUAAUACUACUGGAUAGUGGACGUUACUCGCAGAAUAAGCACCGGCUAACUCUGUGCCAGCCGCCGCCGUAACAC